ensembl:snRNA U2 U2 spliceosomal RNA
CUUGUUUCUCAGCCUUUUGAUUAAGAUCAUGUGUAGUAUCUGUUCUUAUCAAUUUAAUAUCUGAUCCAUCAUCUAUCCAAAGACAAUAUGUUAAGUAGAUGUUUGGAGCAGGGAGAUGAAACAGGAAUUUGCUCUGUCUACUCCACACAUUACCCUGAUAUAGCAGUACUUCAAGGAUUGGUGCACCCCAC